rnacentral:rRNA from 1 species
UCGGCCUACGGGACGCAGCAGUAGGGAAUUUUCGUCAAUGGGCGCAAGCCUGAACGAGCAAUGCCGCGUGAACGAGGAAGGUCUUCGGAUCGUAAAGUUCUGUUGAAGGGGAAAAAGAGCGGAGAGAGGAAAUGAACUCCGAUUGAUAUUACCCUUCGAGGAAGUCACGGCUAACUACGUGCCAGCAGCCGCGGUAAUACGUAGGUGGCGAGCGUUAUCCGGAAUGAUUGGGCGUAAGGGGUGCGUAGGCGGCCUGCUAAGUCUGGAGUGAAAGGGACCGGCUCAACCGGUACAGGCUCUGGAAA